rnacentral:miRNA from 1 species
UGAGGCAGGAGAAUUGCUUGAACCCAGGAGGUGGAGGUUGCAGUGAGCCAAGAUCCCGCCACUGCACUCCAGCCUGGGCGACAGAGCGAGACUCCAUCUC